CCUACGGGAGGCAGCAGUGGGGAAUAUUGCACAAUGGGGGAAACCCUGAUGCAGCGACGCCGCGUGAGUGAAGAAGUAAUUCGUUAUGUAAAGCUCUAUCAGCAGGGAAGAAAAUGACGGUACCUGAGUAAGAAGCCCCGGCUAACUACGUGCCAGCAGCCGCGGUAAUACGUAGGGGGCAAGCGUUAUCCGGAUUUACUGGGUGUAAAGGGAGCGUAGACGGCAGUGCAAGUCUGGAGUGAAAGGCGGGGGCUCAACCCCCGGACUGCUCUGGAAACUGUACGGCUGGAGUGCAGGAGAGGUCAUCGGAAUUCCUUGUGUAGCGGUGAAAUGCGUAGAUAUAAGGAAGAACACCAGUGGCGAAGGCGGAUGACUGGACGGCAACUGACGGUGAGGCGCGAAAGCGUGGGGAGCAAACAGGAUUAGAUACCCUUGUAGUC
rnacentral:rRNA from 1 species